UAUCAUGAGCUGAGUAUUAUUGGACCCACCAAAUCAUGAAGUAGGACAUACACAGUAGCAAUCCAUUAUCAAAUGGAAGUGGUAUAGGGCUGGAAAGAUGGCUCUGUGGUUAAGAGCAUUGGCUACUCUUCCAGAGGUCCUGAGUUCAAUUCCCAGCAACCACAUGGUGGCUCACAACUAACUGCAGUGAGAUCCGAUGCCCUCUUCUGCUGUGUCUGCAGAUAGCAGUAUACUUAUAUACAUUAAAUAAAUAUUUUUCCGAAAAUGGAAGUGGUAUAUACAUGAUUGCACCUGAGCAGGUCCUGAUGGCACAAGCAAGUCAUAUGCAGAAGUUGCCCAAAUGCUUGUGGUUUCUGCUCUUGUUACAGUUCAGUCUUGCUGCCAAGCAUGUGCCUAUAGCCUCAUGGGGUGUUCCUACAAUCAGCUUACUGAGGAAGAGACAACUAGGGCCUGGUUUACUGAUGGUUGUGCACUUUAUACAGGCACCACCCAGAAGUGGACAGCUGCAGCAUUACAAACCCUUUUUAGUACAACUCUGAAAGAUGCUGACAAAAGGAAAUCUUCACAGUGGGCCGAACUUGGCCAAAUGAACGAUUGUUCACUGCUUUGUAUGCUGUUAAAUGGAUUGGCUGGAUGGUCAUGGACAUAGAAAGAUUAUGAUUGGAAAAUUGGUGAGAAAAGCAUCUGGGGAAGAAGUAUGUGAAUAGACCUUGGCAAAUGUGCAAAGGAUGUGAAGAUAUUUGUGUCCCAUGUAAUGCUCAUCAAAAGGUGACUUCAGCCAAGGAGUUCAGUAAUCAAGAUGGGAUGCCCUAUUCUGUGCACACUCAGCUUCUUUCCCUUAGCUAUUCCUGUCAUUGCCCGAUGUCCACAUGAACAAAGUGGCCAUGGCGACAUAGAUGGGGAUUAUGGG
rnacentral:lncRNA from 1 species